GUCAUGUCCCCAAGUUCUCAGAGAUGUUUAUGCAGGGGGAUCUCCACUUAAGGGGGUUGAUAGACCUCGAGGGAGGACAUCAAUGGAGGCAUAGCCAGUGCCCCCACAAGGAAUCAUCCACCUCUAGGAUAUUGCACUGGGGACGUCCGAGAGGCCACCUGGCCAUUGGGUAAGGAGCAUCCCCUUGGAGAAGAGGAAGGCCCCCCUCUAGAGCAUAGCACCAAUGCAACCUCCGAUGACCACCACUCUAGCUCCUUUGCUAGAAUGGCAGAUAUUUCCAACGCCUCCCAUGCUAAAAUUUGUGCCAUUAUGUUUUCUUGAGAUGCCUGGUGGCUAAUCAAGUGGUAGUAAAUCUCUCCAGCUGGAGAAGAAUGCUGACCGUCCUAUGGCAAGGGAGGAAAUGGUGCUCUUAUAUUAUGAAGAUCUUAGAUUGACACCAACUCCAGGCCGUAAGGGCCUAAUUUAUAAAGGCAAAAUUAAAUGCUCCUAAUUACUCCCCAUUGAUCGUGCAACAGAUGCCACCAUGGGAAUAGCCUCGAAGGCUGUGCCUUGCGACAGUCUGACUUUUGACCAUCUGUCUUGACGAAAUGUUAUUAUCGGAUAGCAAAAAUAUUGAAUGCUAUGUUUUCCUAGGCCUAAGGAUCUGACUUUUCUCAAAAGACCUCCAAUUCACUCGAGACCUCAAAUAUCAGGUUCAACGAAUCCCUGGCAUAAUGAUAGGGGCUAACCCUAUGGAGACCCCAUGCAACAACAAGGGCUAACCCUCCAGAGACCCCACUUGCCGCUUACCACGAAUGGGUCAAGCAACAGCUCGGACUCACUUCGGCAUCAAGUCUAUAAAUGGGGUCGGUGCGGCAAGAGAUGAUAAUGAGAGAGUUUUUGCUGAC
rnacentral:lncRNA from 1 species